CCAGCAGCCGCGGUAAUUCCAGCUCCAAUAGCGUAUAUUAAAGUUGUUGCAGUUAAAAAGCUCGUAGUUGAACUUCUGUACAAUCCCAGCCCUGGCUUCGGUCAAGCUGUGGGUUGUGCAUCCGCUUGCAAAUCUAGUUCGGCAUUAACUUGCCGGCUAGGGGAGUAAGCUUUUUACUUUGAAAAAAUUAGAGUGUUUCAGGCAGGCAAUGGCUCGAAUACAUUAGCAUGGAAUAAUGGAAUAGGACUUUUGUCCAUUUGAUUGGUUAUUGGACAUGAGUAAUGAUUAAAAGGGACAGCUGGGGGCAUUAGUAUUUAAUUGUCAGAGGUGAAAUUCUUGGAUUU
rnacentral:rRNA from 1 species